CCUACGGGGGGCAGCAGUGAGGAAUAUUGGUCAAUGGGCGGGAGCCUGAACCAGCCAAGUCGCGUGAGGGAAGACGGUCCUAUGGAUUGUAAACCUCUUUAGGCGGGGAGCAAUGCCGGGCACGCGUGCCCGGAGGGAGAGUACCCGCAGAAUAAGCCUCGGCUAACUCCGUGCCAGCAGCCGCGGUAAUACGGAGGAUGCGAGCGUUAUCCGGAUUUAUUGGGUUUAAAGGGUGCGUAGGCGGAUUUUUAAGUCAGCGGUAAAAUGUCCGGGCUCAACCCGGGCCGGCCGUUGAAACUGGGGAGCUUGAGUGGGCGAGAAGUAGGCGGAAUGCGUGGUGUAGCGGUGAAAUGCAUAGAUAUCACGCAGAACUCCGAUUGCGAAGGCAGCAUACCGGCGCCCGACUGACGCUGAGGCACGAAAGCGUGGGGAUCGAACAGGAUUAGAUACCCCAGUAGUC
rnacentral:rRNA from 1 species